UGGGGAAUUUUGGGCAAUGGCCGAAAGGCUGACCCAGCGACGCCGCGUGCGGGAGGACGCUCUUCGGGGUGUAAACCGCUGUCAGAGGGGAAGAAUGGCUCGGAGGGGAAUACUCUCCGGGUGUGACGGUACCCUCAAAGGAAGCACCGGCUAACUCUGUGCCAGCAGCCGCGGUAAUACAGAGGGUGCAAGCGUUGUUCGGAAUCACUGGGCGUAAAGCGCGCGCAGGCGGGACUGCAAGUCGGGAGUGAAACUCCGGGGCUCAACUCCGGACCGGCUACCGAAACUGCAGACCUGGGGACCGGUAGAGGCUGGUGGAAUUCCCGGUGUAGCGGUGGAAUGCGUAGAUAUCGGGAAGAACACCCGUGGCGAAGGCGGCCAGCUGGGCCGGGUCCGACGCUGAGGCGCGAAAGCGUGGGGAGCAAACAGGAUUAGAUACCCUGGUAGUCCACGCCGUAAACGAUGGGCACUAGGCGCCGGGGGGAGCGACCCCUUCGGUGCCGCAGCUAACGCGAUAAGUGCCCCGCCG
rnacentral:rRNA from 1 species